UACGCAGGGGGCAAGCGUUAUCCGGAUUUACUGGGUGUAAAGGGAGCGUAGACGGUUAUGCAAGUCAGAAGUGAAAGCCCAAAGCUCAACUUCGGGACUGCUUUUGAAACUGUGUAACUAGAGUGCAGGAGGGGUAAGCGGAAUUCCUAGUGUAGCGGUGAAAUGCGUAGAUAUUAGGAGGAACACCGGCGGCGAAGGCGGCUUACUGGACUGUAACUGACGUUGAGGCUCGAAAGCGUGGGGAGCAAACAGG
rnacentral:rRNA from 1 species